UACGGAGGGUGCAAGCGUUAUCCGGAUUCACUGGGUUUAAAGGGUGCGUAGGAGGGCAGGUAAGUCCGUGGUGAAAUCCCCAAGCUUAACUUGGGAACUGCCGUGGAUACUAUCUGUCUUGAAUCCCGUGGAGAUGAGCGGAAUAUGUCAUGUAGCGGUGAAAUGCUUAGAUAUGACAUAGAACACCAAUUGCGAAGGCAGCUCGUUACACGAAGAUUGACUCUGAGGCACGAAAGCGUGGGGAUCAAACAGGAUUAGAAACCCCCGUAGUCC
rnacentral:rRNA from 1 species